AUACCGUCAUGCGCGCUCUUUGGCUCCCGAGAGGAGUAGGGUCAGAGUGUGAAAUUAUAUCUUUUAUAGGGGGACGAGGCAGUAGGGUUGUGGUUUUGUUGAUCAGACUUGAAUGUUCAGACGAAUCUUGUUCAGAGCCAGUCUCUGUCGGGGAAACGCUCCCCUUCUCUUGGCUCCGCUCCCCACAGACGUGGGAGGAAGUCUGAGAUUCUUUGUCACCACCUCUUCGGCGGCGGGGGGGAGGGGGUUAGGACGGGGCGAGGCUCAGCAGCAUGAUGGCGGCCGAGCGUGAGGAAGAGGUUUCGGUUACCUCUGCUAGGAUAGCGGGAGCCUUCGGCGGAGCUGAGCUGGGGCGCUACUCCGUCCUAUGUCGGAGCAAGGAACUGGUGUCACAGGGCCACUUACUGGCGGGCUCUGGUGGGGACAACCCAGGCGCUGGCGGUCCGGCUUUGUGCUCGACCCUUGAGCUUCUGGAGCUCAGCUCAGGGCCUGCUCCUCUGGCGUCUGGAAGCAGCAGUGCCGUGACGACUGGACAGGGACUGAAGGUAACCGGAGGGACGUUUCCUGAGCCUGGUACCGUCCCUUUCUCUCUGCUGCCGUCACAGCCACCUUCCUUGGCGGGGGUGCUGGGGACUGUGGAGGAAAGCGACUCACUGGAUGGGCCGGAGUACGAAGAGGAGGAGGUGGCCAUCCCGCUCAACGCUCCCCCAACGAACCAAUGGUAUCAUGGAAAACUCGACAGAGCAAUUGCUGAAGAGCGUCUUUGGCAAGCAGGGAAAUCUGGAACUUACCUUAUUCGAGAGAGUGAUCGGAGACCAGGUUCAUUUGUGCUUUCAUUCCUCAGUAAAACAAAUGUCAAUCAUUUUAGGAUUAUUGCCAUGUGUGGAGACUAUUACAUUGGUGGACGCCGCUUUGCUUCACUCUCAGACCUAAUUGGUUAUUACAGUCAUGUGUCUUGUUUGCUGAAGGGGGAAAAACUAUUCUUUCCAGUAGCACCUCCAGAGCCUGUGGAGGAUAGAAGGAGAGUUCGAGCAAUUCUACCAUAUACCAAAGUCCCAGAAACUGAUGAAGUAAGUUUCCUUAAAGGAGACAUGUUUAUUGUCCAUAAUGAAUUGGAAGAUGGCUGGAUGUGGGUUACAAACCUACGGACAGAUGAACAGGGUCUUAUUGUAGAAGACCUGGUAGAAGAAGUUGGAAGAGAAGAAGAUCCCCAUGAAGGCAAAAUAUGGUUCCAUGGGAAGAUCUCCAAACAAGAAGCUUACAAUUUGCUGAUGACAGUUGGUCAGGUGUGCAGUUUUCUUAUAAGACCUUCAGAUAAUACACCUGGUGAUUAUUCACUUUAUUUUCGGACCAGUGAGAACAUUCAACGUUUUAAAAUAUGCCCAACUUCAAACAAUCAGUUCAUGAUGGGAGGCAGAUAUUAUAACAGUAUUGCUGAGAUCAUUGAACGUUAUAAGAAAGAACAGAUUGUUGAAGGUUAUUACCUUAAAGAUCCUGUUCCAAUGCAGCAUCAAGAACAAGUGCUUAAUAAUACAGUGGAUGGAAAAGAAAUCUACAACACAAUUCGUCAGAAAACAAAGGAUGCUUUUUAUAAAAACAUUGUCAAAAAAGGUUAUCUUCUAAAAAAAAGCAAAGGAAAGAGAUGGAAGAACUUGUAUUUUAUAUUGGAGGGAAAUGAUUCUCAGCUUAUUUAUUUUGAAAGUGAAAAACGAGCCACAAAACCUAAAGGAUUAAUAGAUCUUAGUGUGUGUUCAGUCUACGGAGUACAUGACAGUUUAUUUGGCAGGCCAAACUGUUUUCAGAUAGUAGUUCAGCACUUCAGUGAAGAUCAUUACAUCUUCUACUUUGCAGGAGAAACUCCAGAACAAACACAGGACUGGAUGAAAUCUCUGCAGAUGUUUUGCAGUUUAAGAAAAAACAGUCCAGGGGCAUCAAAUAAACGUCUACGUCAGGUCAACAGUCUUAUUUUGCAUGUAGAAGAAGCUCAUACACUCCCAGUAAAACAUUUUACUAAUCCGUACUGUAACAUAUACCUGAAUAGUGUCCACGUUGCAAAAACACAUACCAGGGAAGGGCAGAACCCUGUAUGGUCAGAAGAAUUUGUCUUUGAUGAUCUUUCGUGUGAUAUUAAUAGAUUUGAGAUAAGUCUUAGUAACAAAACAAAGAAAAGUAAAGAUCCAGAUAUAUUGUUUAUGCGUUGCCAAUUAAGCCGAUUACAGAAAGGACAUGCAACAGAUGAGUGGUUUCAACUCAGUUCCUAUAUACCAUUAAAGGGUAUUGAUCCAGGAUCUUUGCGUGUUCGAGCACGAUAUUCUAUGGAGAAGAUCAUGCCGGAAGAAGAGUAUAGUGAGUUUAAAGAGAUCAUACUUCAGAAAGAGCUUCAUGUAGUCUAUGCUUUAUCACAUGUUUGUGGACAGGAUAGAACACUCUUAGCUGGCAUUUUAUUGAAGAUUUUUCUUCAUGAAAAGCUCGAGUCUCUAUUGUUACGAUCACUAAAUGACAAGGAAAUAAGUAUGGAAGCUGAAGCUACUACUUUGUUUCGUGCCACCACUUUAGCAAGUACACUUAUGGAGCAAUACAUGAAAGCAACAGCAACACAUUUUGUUCACCACGCACUGAAAGACUGUAUAUUAAAGAUAAUGGAGAGCAAGCAGUCCUGUGAGUUAAAUCCCUCAAAAUUAGAAAAAAAUGAAGAUGUGAACACUAAUUUGGCACAUCUACUCAGUAUACUUUCAGAAUUGGUGGAGAAAAUAUUCAUGGCUGCAGAGAUACUGCCACCGACGUUGAGAUAUAUUUACGGAUGUUUGCAGAAGUCUGUUCAAAGCAAGUGGCCAUCUAAUACCAAUAUGAGAACAAGAGUUGUUAGUGGCUUUGUUUUUCUUCGACUGAUUUGUCCUGCUAUACUGAAUCCAAGGAUGUUUAAUAUCAUCUCAGAUUCCCCUUCCCCUACUGCUGCAAGAACGCUGACGCUGGUUGCCAAGUCUGUGCAGAAUUUAGCAAAUCUGGUUGAAUUUGGAGCUAAGCUCUCCUUGGUUUUGGCAACCAUGGUCUUGUUAAGGGCUCCUUCCCUGGCAUUAGGGGUGAGUGCCUUGGAUCUUUUUCCUCAGCUUUCUCAUCUUCUCUUACAGUAUCUUGUUUCUCUUCUUUAUCCUCCUCUUUCUUCUGUUCUAAACGAGGUGACAUUCGUUUCAAUUUCUGUCCUCUUACAGGGGCAACUGACAUCAAUUCUAGUGCCUCCUCUGGUUGAUCAGGUUGCUCAGUUCCGAUGCUCUUUCUCUCCAGCUUGGCUGAGUCUGUCUUAUUCUGCAUGAAGGAUGUCUCCUUGUGUUUGAAGUUUGACUAAUAGGUUUGGAGACUGUUCAGUUUGGAUUCGGGAGUGUCUUGUUGAGACUGUAGGGUGUCUUGCUCUGUUUGGAGACUGUCUAGUUUGGAUUGGAGGGAGUCUCACUUGGUUCAGUGGGUGUCCCAUUCUGAUUCGAUGGUGUCCUGUUCAUUUCGGAGGGUGUGUCGUUCAGAUUAGAGAUCUUUUCUCUCGGAUUGGAGAUUCUCUCUUUAUAAGGUGUCCUGUCAAUUCAGAGGGUUUCUUGUCGCAAUUGGAGAUUCCUUCUCUGAGCUCAGAGAUCUUCCCUUUCGACUUGGAAUUUUUCCUUCUCAGCUCGGAGACACUCUUGCCAGAUUCAGAGAUUCCCUUUCCUGACUCUCUUACUCACCUAGGAGAUUCUCCCUCUCAGUUUGGACUCUCUCCUGGAAGCUCUCUUUUCAGCUUGGAGACUCUGUUUCUCAGCAAGAAGACUCUCUUUCUGAACCUGCAGAUUCUCUGUCUCAAGCUCAGACUUGCUCAUGGAAACUCUCCCUCUCGGCACAGAGAUUCUCCCUUUCAGCUCGGAGACUCUCCCUUUCAGUUUUGACUGUCUCCUGGAAACUCUCCCUUUCGGUGUGGAGACUCUCAAUGUCAGAAAACCUCUCCCUCUCUGAGAUAUUAUUGAACAAGGCCCAAUAAGCAUAAGCCAGACCCCAAAUAAUUUGUGGCAUCAGAUCUGUCUGAGCCACAACAUCCCUGUCUUAAAUACUGGCUUAGAUUCUCAGGAUCUUGCAGGUGUUCAGGAGUGAAGUCCCAUGACACCGGGGAUACCCAUCUCUCUAAAGUCUCUCCCAAGUCCCUCCACAGUCCCUGCCACUUCUGUGGGUUUGGGGAAGGCUUCCUCAAAAUAUUGUAAAUACAGAUACUGAGUGAAAUGAAUAGGAGUAUAUUCAGAGAGACUGACUACAUGAUCAUCGGAUGAGCAUUCAAAAAAUGCAUAACGGGUUCAAGGGAAAGACUGGGAGACUGUUUAAAAGUCAAAAGUUCUGUAUAAUUAAUCGUUCCCUCUGGAAACAGUUUUACAAGAGAAAGCAAAAACUUUUUUUUUCUUUAGCAAAGCAAGCUAGCAGCACCUAGAAAGUUUACAAAUAUCCCAGAAUACUGGCAGUCUGCCUGGACUUCAAGGCAUUGUUUUCAGUACAGUACCUGCUAUACUGAUAAACUUUUUAACAAAUCUCUUCAAGAGUAGAGAGAGAUUUGUUCUAAAAGCACAUCUUUUCCUGGACAAUGUGGUCUAUGUCCACAUUUUCCACUCAAAAUGUCAGCGGUUUACAGGCUGGUUUGUCUUCAUUCUACGACUAAUGGGGUGGGGGGUCCCAUGGAUCCAUGCCCAAGGAAAGGGGAAAGGGGGAAAAGGGAAAGGGUCGGGAGAUGGACCUAAAAACAAAACGGCAGCAACGAUCUCAGGGAUACAAACUAAUUUACAAUAUAAGUUAUUGGAAUGCAAGAUAAAACAAUAUAAUACAAUAUAAUUAGAAUAGAAGCUAAUAAAUAAAAUGAAAGUGUCCAAAAACCGAAAGCCUUACUCUAAUGCUGAAGGCAAGAUGGCUAGGGAGCACACAUGGUGCAGAGACAAGCAGAAAGGGAAAAAGGGGAUGUCUUGUUACAUGUGAACAGUUUUAUCUCUCCUUGUGGACGGAAAACAGAAAUGAAAUGUCCUCUGAGUUAUGUAGUUCUUCUCUUCUGAGACAGGUAUCUGUCUCAGAAGAGAACUUCAACUAUCGAUGAUCUUAAUGACUAGAGUAUUAACUCUUAAACUCUACUCGAUGUGCUCUACGUGAUGUUAUGAUGUGGAAUACCAAUAACAAAAAUCAUAAAACCGUGUGAAAGCUCUUCAGAAGGGAAAGGGAAGGAAGGAGGGGUGGUGGUGUGGCUCUCUAUGUUAGAGAGUGUUUUAAUGUUGUUGAGCUUGGGACAGGGAAAGAAGGUUGAAUCUCUAUGGGUAAGGAUCCGGGGGAGGAUCAUCAAGGCUGACAUCCUGGUGGGGGUCUGUUGUAGACUGCCUAACCAGGAGGAAGAGAUGGAUAAGGCAUUCUGUGAGAAGUAGGCAAAAUUUGCACAAUCGCAUUGAGUGCACCCUCAGUAGAUUUGCAGAUGACACCAAAUUGGAAGCGUCAAUCUAGAUGGGCUGAAGCCAAUGGGAUGAGGUUCAACAGGACCAAGUGCCGGGUCCUGCACUUUGGCCACAACAACCCUAGGCAAUGCUGCAGGCUUGGGGCAGAGUGGCUGGAAGACUGUGAAGAAGAAACAGACCUGGGGGUAUUGGUUGAUGCUUUGCUGAACAUGAGCCAGCAGUGUGCCCAGGUGGCCAAGAAAGCCAGUGGCAUCCUGGCUUGUGUCAGAAAUAGUGUUGCUAUCAGGAGCAGGGAACUAAUUUUCCCUCUGUACUCAGCACUGGUGAGACUGCACCUCGAAUACUGUGUUCAGUCUUGGGCCCCUCACUGCAAGAAAGAUGUUGAGUCCCUGGAGUGUGUUCAGAGAAGGGCAAUGAAGCUGUUGAGAGGUCUGGAGCACAAACCUUAUGAGGAUCAUCUGAGGGAGCUGGAAUUGUUCAGUCUGGAGAACAGGAGGCUCAGGGGAGACCUUAUUGCUCUCUACAACCACCUGAAGGGAGGUUGUGGUGAAUUGGAGGUCAACCUCUUCUCCCAUGUAACUAGCAAUAGGACCAGAGGGUAUGACCUCAAGUUGCACUAGAGGAGAUUCAGAUUGAACAUUAAGAAAUACUACUUCCAUGAGAGAAUGCUCAGGUACUGGAACAGGCUGCCCAGGGAAGUGGUGGAGACGCCUUCCCUGGAGGUGUUCAAGAAAAGGGUAGAUGAUGUAUCGAGGGACAUUGUUUAGUGGGAAAUAUUGGUGAUAGGUGGAUGGUUGGACUGGAUGAUCUUAGAGGUCUUUUUCAACCUUGGUGAUUCUAUGAUUCUGUGAUUCUAUGAUUCUAUGGUCUGUUCUGGUUCCCAAGCCACAACAUGGCUGAAUGAUAAAUUUGUUGCCUUAGGAAUAAAGAAAAAGAGACUUCAGUUUGCCAUUAUAAAGCUGCUUGUUUGACACUCACAACUUGGAAUUUAAGUAUUAAUGAAAGAACAAGAUGGAAGGCACUUUCAAAGGCUGCUUUGAGGCAAUACCUCCUAUUUUAUUACUUUGGCGCACUACGUCAGAGGCAGGUGUUGGUGGUAUGGCAGUAGAGGUUGAACCUUACCUCCAUUAUUCAUUUUGUUGCCAUGCGACAAACUCUUGUUCAUCGCUGUUGAAAAUGCAUAGCUAAAGGAGGUGUCUAUGUUGAAAAAUAGUGAUUUGUAACUUAGAAUUUGAUCUAUCAAAUAGUGAUAUUGUGUUCUUUGUAUCUGUUGUAGUUUCCAUGGAAAUAAAUGAGGCAUUAUUUUCAGAGUAAUCUAAAUAUUUCCAUAUGUUUCAUCUAAAAAUGCGGGUUUUUUUUACUGAAGCUAUGUAUUGGAGAAAUGCCUAUCUUAAAAUGAAUAUUUCAUGUAAAUGUAUAUAUAAGCAAUUUUUUAAUUCAUCUGGAAUGCAAAAAUGUAAUUUAGAAUUAGUCAUUCUAAAUUCACUUGGAAAAAAUAAAUUUACUCCAGAUGACACAUUCGUGUUUUGUGGUUCACUUGUUUCUGAUGACGAUGUGUUCACUUCAGAUAGGACUAAAUUGGAAUUGAUUUGUUCUAAUAAAUACUUGUUAAAAUUGCUAGGAGCCAUAUAUGGAAGGGGUAAAUCCAUUCAUCAAGAGUAACAAACAUCGUAUGAUCAUGUUCUUAGAUGAACUUGGGAAUGUUCCUGAGCUUCCAGACACUAUGGAGCAUUCUAGAACUGACU